rnacentral:misc_RNA from 1 species
GUGAACGCCCUCACGGGCUUAUAACUAUUCCAAACCUCUGUGAACCGUGCCCUUCAGGGCUAUUUUACAAACAUGGUGUAAUGAACGUCAUAUAUCAUAACAAAACA